UGGGGAAUUUUGCACAAUGGGGGAAACCCUGAUGCAGCGACGCCGCGUGAUUUAGAAGGCCUUCGGGUUGUAAAAAUCUUUUCUAUGGGAAGAAAAUGACAGUACCAUAGGAAUAAGGACCGGCUAAUUACGUGCCAGCAGCCGCGGUAAUACGUAAGGUCCGAGCGUUGUCCGGAUUCAUUGGGCGUAAAGGGUACGUAGGCGGGUAAGCAAGUUAGAAGUGAAAUCCUAUAGCUCAACUAUAGUAAGCUUUUAAAACUGCUCAUCUUGAGGUAUGGAAGGGAAAGUGGAAUUCCUAGUGUAGCGGUGAAAUGCGCAGAUAUUAGGAGGAAUACCGGUGGCGAAGGCGACUUUCUGGCCAUAACCUGACGCUGAGGUACGAAAGCGUGGGUAGCAAACAGG
rnacentral:rRNA from 1 species